rnacentral:rRNA from 1 species
GUGGGCAAAGCGUUGAGCCCGCGCUACCAAGGCCUAUCGACAUAUGAGAAAGAAUAUCUGGCGGUGAUUGUGGCAGUCGACCAAUGGCACCCAUACUUGUAGCGCGCAUAAUUCAUCAUCCACACGGACCAGCAUAGUUUGAUACACCAGACGGAGCAGCGGCUGACUACGCCAUGGCAGCAACAUGCAUUCACCAAGCUGCUUGGACCCAGGUACACCAUCCGCUACAAAAAAGGGAUGGAAAACACAACCGCAAACGCUCUCUCACGUGCCAACCCGGAGGAGAUGCUGCUUAGUAUCAGCACAUGUCAGCCGACCUAG